UACUUUUCUGACUGAAAUAAGUUUUUACUUCUUUUCAGAGGCCAUACACAUGUGGGAGAGGGUGCUGGAAUGCCUCAUGAAGAGAAUUGUUAGCUAAGUUCUGACUGCGGAAUUUGUAUUGUUGGCAAUGAGCGACCUAAAGAGAAACCAUCUUGACUUUCAAGUCCCAGCUUGAUUUUCAGGGCGAGCACUUAGAAAAAGCAUUUUUUUCAUUUGCAAACUGAGAAGACGGCAUCUGGAAUCACUUAAGGAAGAAAAUAAACAUGGUGCCCCCAAUAUCACCAUUUUUGCAGAGAACUGCAUUGUAAAGAGUAUUAUUAGCAUAAUUCCAUUCCUGAUUGCUCCGGUUCUUGGGUUUAUUUCACAAGGGGAAUUAAAAAAGGGAAUUUCUGCAUGUAUGUUUACAUGGAAAAUGAAGAAGUGCCUGAAAUAAACCAAAUACUGGCGUAGAAGUGCUUUGAACUUAGAAAUGUGAUUUUUUUGUGAGGAGGGGAAGAGGAGGAGGAGGAGGAGGAGGAGUAGAA